GAACAAACGAAAGAACACCGUGGAAGCUCUGGCUAGUCGGUACAUACUCGACGCGAGAGCAGCGCGAAAAGACGAAGGACAAGAUGAUGAGUCCGCACUCCGUCUUUGGCCUUCUUAACGGAGGCAGAACCGCAAGAUCUUAACCGCAAUAAUUCUGGGGAAAUAUAAUCGGCGUCGCAGCUGCUGCGCUCGAUCAUUCCUGACAAUCGCCUUUCCCAAAAGCGGGCAGUGCUCGCUUUCUGCGCGCAGGAAAAACAAGCACUUCAGGACCAGUCCAGCUGUUCACGCCUAUUUCGCGGAGGAGAAUAUCAAAUAUAUUUCGCAUUGGCUGCACCACUAGAAGGACGAACAUUCCGUGUCCAGACACAGAGUGCGGUUUUAUUACACCAGACUGUGCUACACUGCACCAUGCCAUCGUUUAUUCUUCUAGCCACGAUCAUCAUAAUUGUUUUUCCAGCCUAUAACCAAAGCUCUCCGUGUUCUACUCAGGGCUUUAAGUGCGUGCCGGUGGGAAGUUGCCCGCGAAUAGGAAAAAGGAGUAUCAGCGGAUGUGGACAUGGCAUGGAGUGCUGCGCCCCAGUGCAGAGACCUUGUAACAUGGCACCAGGAGGAACUUGCCUGAAGAAAUGUAAGUGUUCUAAGGAAUACACCAAUUAUGCGUGCCCUCCCAAAUUGAAGUGCUGUUCGUCCAAGAAGUAGCAAGAGUCAAGCAAGAGCCUUUUUACAAUCGGCGACAAUAUGUGAUAAAAAUAAACUGUAUUUGCAUUGA